GACGAACGCUGGCGGCGUGCCUAAUACAUGCAAGUCGAGCGAAUCAAUAGGAGCUUGCUCCUAUUGAUUAGCGGCGGACGGGUGAGUAACACGUGGGCAACCUGCCUAUAAGACUGGGAUAACUUCGGGAAACCGGAGCUAAUACCGGAUAAUCCUUUUCCUCUCAUGAGGGAAAGCUGAAAGACGGUUUACGCUGUCACUUAUAGAUGGGCCCGCGGCGCAUUAGCAGUUGGUGAGGUAACGGCUCACCAAGGCGACGAUGCGUAGCCGACCUGAGAGGGUGAUCGGCCACACUGGGACUGAGACACGGCCCAGACUCC
rnacentral:rRNA from 1 species